ensembl:snRNA U6 U6 spliceosomal RNA
GUGCUUGCUUCAGCAACACACAUACUAAAAUUGGAAUAAUACAGAGAAGAUUAGCAUGUCCCCUAUGCAAGAAUGACACGGAAUUCAUGAAGCAUUUGUAUUUUUA